AGAAACGAAAUUAAAGCAAGAUAUGGAAUGUACGUAGGUUUCUUUCUCUCGUCGCUCUAAUCCAACAUUUGUUCCAUUUUUUUUUUUUUCCUCUCUCUCUCUCU
rnacentral:ribozyme from 15 species